GUUUUAAUAGUUUAACGCAGAACUUUGGUCUUGUAAACCAAAAGUGAAUUAUUUAAUUCUUAAAAGCA
rnacentral:tRNA from 1 species